UGUCGCGAAGAAUCGCGUGCGUAAUCGCGCUCCGUUUAGCGUUAAAGGCUAUAAAAGGCGUUAAAAACCUCAUUCAGACUUGCGAUCGUGAAUACGCGCACACUUGUACAUGCGCGUGUCAACGUCUUCAAUGAUAACGAUCGGGAUAUCGAUCGAAUUAUAAAACCAGCAGCACAUUUUUGCAGCUUUAUCUGUCUUGAUGAUUUUCAUGUCGUUGGAUUUAACAAACGACAAAUAUUUGUUCCGUCAGUAAUACGCAACAUUACCAGAAUUCUGAUGAACGUUAAGUCC